GAUGAACGCUAGCUACAGGCUUAACACAUGCAAGUCGAGGGGAAACGACAUCGAAAGCUUGCUUUUGAUGGGCGUCGACCGGCGCACGGGUGAGUAACGCGUAUCCAACCUGCUCAUCACUUGGGGAUAACCUUGCGAAAGUAAGACUAAUACCCACUGAUAUCUCUAGAAGACAUCUGAAAGAGAUUAAAGAUUUAUCGGUGAUGGAUGGGGAUGCGUCUGAUUAGCUUGUUGGCGGGGUAACGGCCCACCAAGGCAACGAUCAGUAGGGGUUCUGAGAGGAAGGUCCCCCACAUUGGAGCUGAGACACGGUCCAAACUCCUACGGAGGGCAGCAGUGAGGAAUAUUGGUCAAUGGGCGAGAGCCUGAACCAGCCAAGUAGCGUGCAGGAAGACGGGCCUAUGGGUUGUAAACUGCUUUUAUAAGGGAAUAAAGUGAGAGUCGUGACUCUUUUUGUAGGUACCUUAUGAAUAAGGACCGGCUAAUUCCGUG
rnacentral:rRNA from 1 species